rnacentral:sRNA from 1 species
UCGUUAGAAAAAAUUUUCCUUAUAUAUUGUCUGCAGAAAACUUUUCAUUGCAAAAUUAAAAUUUCUUCUAAGAAAUUGUGUUUAGAAAGAUUUACGCUGUAAAAAAAAUAUAGAAAUGUUGUGAAACAAUGCAUCAAAUUUGUUUAAGGAAAGAAUCCAUUAAUGGGACGGGUUUUUUGAAAACGUUAUCCUAACAGUCUCUUUCCGUGUUCCACGGUGUUGCAAUAUAUAUUCCAUUGUAAUUCAUGACAUGACCAUUGAACGGAUCGUUUAUUCAUGGAAAAAAUAUUUGCCUUCUUCCGCUUUAAUGAUGCGAUAAUAGACGGGGAUACGCCUAGCCAUUUAGUAAGCAUUUUCUCAAUACCAAAUAAGCGAGAAAAUCCGCUUAUUGGGUGAAUAAAACAACUCUAAUAUUCCUAUAUCAAUCGUUCGGAAUCCGUUUAAAGCUUGUGGAACAAAAAUUCUUUAAAGUAUUAGCUUUUGGAAGAAUUAGACCUUGGUUUGCUGGUGUCGCUUCCACCCUUCACAUAAACUCUGGUCCAAUGUUUUGCAAUUUAAUGAAAAAUUCUUCAGCUUUUUUGCAUUUAAAAGCCCAGUCGAGUGAAAAGCAACGGCAACGAAAGACAGUGGCAAUGGCUUGGGCUGAUGUGUAAUGCAAAAGAAAAAAUACGCAAACAUCUAACCCUGAACUUUUGAAGUGUUCGGGCUGCAUAUGUUGGAGGCUUCUGCAGAUGUUUUUAAGCGUUUGGCUCUGGUGGUGCAUUAUGAAGAGUUUCCCGUCAGUUGUUGCUUCAGGAGCCCAGUGCUACUACUGCCGCUGCUAAAUGCCAGGAACUGUCGAGAAAAGGAGGGCAAGCAAGAGCUGCAAAAAAACCCAACAAGUUCAGGAAUGCUAAGGAAAAAAUUAAUUAAAUACAAGCUCACAGCAUCCACAAGCAGUACCUCAACAACCUCCCCCUGUUGCCACUUUGGCUGUAGAACCCUGAAAGGAAAACAAACAACCCACAAAGCAAAAAAAAAAAGAAAAAAUUAAACGAAUAUAAAGUCACGUUUGCCUUUUUGUUUUCACCGCUGCUAAA